AUGAACGCUGGCGGCGUGCCUAAUACAUGCAAGUCGCGCGAACGGACGAGAAGCUUGCUUCUCUGAUGUUAGCGGCGGACGGGUGAGUAACACGUGGAUAACCUACCUAUAAGACUGGGAUAACUUCGGGAAACCGGAGCUAAUACCGGAUAAUAUUUUGAACCGCAUGGUUCAAAAGUGAAAGACGGUCUUGCUGUCACUUAUAGAUGGAUCCGCGCUGCAUUAGUUAGUUGGUAAGGUAACGGCUUACCAAGGCAACGAUGCAUAGCCGACCUGAGAGGGUGAUCGGCCACACUGGAACUGAGACACGGUCCAGACUCCUACGGGAGGCAGCAGUAGGGAAUCUUCCGCAAUGGGCGAAAGCCUGACGGAGCAACGCCGCGUGAGUGAUGAAGGUCUUCGGAUCGUAAAACUCUGUUAUUAGGGAAGAACAUAUGUGUAAGUAACUGUGCACAUCUUGACGGUACCUAAUCAGAAAGCCACGGCUAACUACGUG
rnacentral:rRNA from 1 species